rnacentral:rRNA from 1 species
GAUCCUGGCUCAGGAUGAACGCUAGCUACAGGCUUAACACAUGCAAGUCGAGGGGCAGCAUGUUGGUUUGCUUGCAACCAACGAUGGCGACCGGCGCACGGGUGAGUAACGCGUAUCCAACCUUCCGCAUACUCGGGAAUAGCCUUUCGAAAGAAAGAUUAAUGCCCGAUGGUUUCCCGAAUCCGCAUGAGCGCGGGAAUAAAGAUUCAUCGGUAUGCGAUGGGGAUGCGUCCCAUUAG